AUUGAACGCUGGCGGCAUGGCUAAACAUGCAAGUCGAACGCCUGUAGCAAUACAGGAGUGGCGAAAGGGCGAGGAAUAGAUUCCUACAUACCUCGAGGUCGGGGAUACCCCGGAGAAAUCCGGAUCAAUACCCGAUGUGGUCGAGAGAUCAAAGGUUUACCGCCUUGAGAGUGGGGAAUCUCCUAUCAGCUAGUUGGUGAGGUAACGGCUCACCAAGGCAAAGACGGGUAGCGGGUGUGAGAGCACGGCC
rnacentral:rRNA from 1 species